rnacentral:rRNA from 1 species
UACGUAGGUGGCAAGCGUUGUCCGGAUUUACUGGGUGUAAAGGGCGUGCAGCCGGGAGUGCAAGUCAGCUGUGAAAGUCCGCGGCUCAACCGUGGAAUUGCAGUUGAAACUGGAGGCCUUGAGUGCACACAGGGGUGCCGGAAUUCAUGGUGUAGCGGUGAAAUGCUUAGAUAUCAUGAAGAACUCCGAUCGCGAAGGCAAGUGUCCGGGGUGCAACUGACGCUGAGGCUCGAAAGCGUGGGGAGCAAACAGG